rnacentral:rRNA from 1 species
CAGUAGCCGCGGUAAUACGAAGGGGGCUAGCGUUGCUCGGAAUGACUGGGCGUAAAGGGCGCGUAGGCGGUUUAUACAGUCAGAUGUGAAAUUCCUGGGCUCAACCUGGGGACUGCAUUUGAUACGUAUGGACUUGAGUGGAGAAGAGGGUUGUGGAAUUUCCAGUGUAGAGGUGAAAUUCGUAGAUAUUGGAAAGAACACCGGUGGCGAAGGCGGCAACCUGGUCUUUAACUGACGCUGAGGCGCGAAAGCGUGGGGAGCAAACAGGAUUAGAUACCCGAGUAGUCCCUGUCUCUUAUAC